CUCAAAAAAACAAUCUCAGUUNAGACUGCAGGCUGCAACUCGCCUGCACGAAGUCGGAAUUGCUAGUAAUCGUAGGUCAGCAUACUACGGUGAAUACGUUCCCGGGCCUUGUACACACCGCCCGUCAAACCAUGAGAGUUGGCAACACCCGAAGUCGGUAGUCUAACCGCAAGGAGGACGCCGCCGAAGGUGGGGUUGAUGAUUAGGGUUAAGUCGUAACAAGGUACC
rnacentral:rRNA from 1 species